AAAAGCAAAAUAAUAAACAACUUUUGAUAAAUUAUUAGUUUUGACAGAAAUUGGUAGGUCUACAAUUUUUUAUGCACUGAUAUGUUUAAUUCCUUUAUGUAGGAAAAAUACUAAGCAGUUGAUACUUGAAGAACCACUGCAAGAAUUGCACGACGAGAAGAAAGAGGAGGAGGAGACUUGUAGGCAUGGAAAAGGUGAAGACGUGGGGGAAAAGAAUAAUAAGAAAAAGAAUCUUACGGAUUAUGAGUAUACGUCGGGAGAGGAUGACGAUUACGUCUGGCCACAUGGUACUCGCAGAAGGACCCGCAAAGAAUGGCUAGAUAUUUAUAAACAAAUUAAGGAAAGCGAGAAUACGAGCUAUGAGUUUCUGAAGCUAGAGAAGAUAACUUGCUGCAUUGCAGCGGGAUUGGGGUACCGUCUUACUUUUCAAGCAAUAGAUGGUGAAGCCGAGCCCAAAUCCUUCCAAGCUAUAACUUUUUUUGGGAUAGAUGAUAGUAUUACUGUUGAUCUUUGCAGGCUUAAGUCUAUUGCUAGUUCGUAAAAGGUUGAAUGGAUGUACUCCACACUAGACCUGCUAUUUGGUUGUGUAAAACAGCGGGACAUAAUUUUGUUUGUGUUGCUAUUUUCUAUUUAUUUUAAGUUGUCAGCUUUUUGAUAUAACUACUUAGGAGGCUUUAGCAACUUAAAUUUUGUUUUAUUUUUCUUUUUACAUACUAUAUCAAUGUGGACAAAUUUAUCUUCUUCAUAGUACAUGACAAGUAGAAGAUGCUUCUUUUUCAUUAAUUUGGUAGUCUAUCGGUGGUCUUGUGAAGAAUCUAUGUAAGCUAUUUGUAGUGUUUUAUGUGAGAAAUGAAAAGUUUGUAGUGUAAAAAGGCCUGGGUAAAUAUGCUUCCACUUUUAUAUUCUUAGUAGUAUUGCUUAUAUGGAUUUCUGAUUGGUAGUUGUCCUAAAGACAGUUGAAAUACAGUAAUGUGCUGAUUUUAGUUGUUCAACCAAUUUGCUAUCCUUUAUAGUUGCGAGAAACAGAUAUUAUUUAGUUGUAUAAACUACCAGUGCUUGUGUAACUCUCACUCAUCAAUCUAUAAAAUUUUUUUAUUAAGUAAUUCUUAAAUAGUUUCUAUUAUCUCUAUAGCUUUCUUUAGUUUCUUUUUUGGAGAUGUAUGUUUCAUCUCUUUUUGACAGUUUAGUCUUAGUAAAGAAGCUGGAUUGGGGCCAAAGUGAGCUUCUUGUUUUGGAUUUGAGCAGAGCAUACUGUUAAAAUUUAGUUGCAUUGGUUGAUCUUAGUUGGCAUUGAUGCUAAGAAAAAGAAAGCAUGUGGAUAUAAGCUCAUCUUACUGGCUUAAAGAAUAAACUCUGAUAUGUUCCCCUUAGUAAUGAUUUGAAAUUUAGGGCCAAUCUAUGCAGGGUCUCACUUGCCACCAUUCUUGUGUGGUUUCGAAUUGUUCAAGAAUGUAUUUGUUGAUUUCUACUGGGUGAGUUACAUCUGAUUCAUUUGACCUUUCUAGUACUUGAAAAAGUUAACUUUUUGGUUUAUAAUUCGGAAAGAGCAUUUCAAUGCAGUUAAGGAAAUAAGGAGUUUUAUCUUGUGCAACAUCCGGUGAGUAUAGAUACCAAGGUAAUUCUAUCUCGUUAUAGUUAAGUAUUAUUGUUGCCAAGAAUUUAUUGUAUGAUUUAGUGGACUUUUAUCUAUUGAAAUGCGUCGUCAAGUGUGCCUGGAUCCAGAGCACCAUCUCUGAAGGUGGAGAGAUCCAAGAGGGUCGUUUGGAUCUCAUGGUGUUUUUUGUUUUGAUUUGAACAUUGGUUUUGGAAAAUUUGUGUAGGAGUUGGUUGGCUAUAGAUCUUGUGGAUUCUGAAGUAAAAAAAGAUAUCUUUUCGCUUAUAAUGCUUGAUUAGGUUUCUUAGGUCUACUACGUCGUUUUGAGUUUUCUUUUGUUUUAAGCUUCUUGUGU